GCCUGGGUGGCUCAGUCGGUUAAGCGUCUGACUUCGGCUCAGGGUCAUGAUCUCGCGGGUUCGUGGGUUCGAGCCCCGCGUCGGGCU
rnacentral:tRNA from 1 species